AUUAGCUCAGUUGGUUAGAGCGUCGGAUUGUGGUUCCGAAGGUCAAGGGUUCGAGACCCUUAUU
rnacentral:tRNA from 1 species